rnacentral:rRNA from 1 species
UGGGGAAUAUUGGACAAUGGGCGCAAGCCUGAUCCAGCCAUGCCGCGUGAGUGAUGAAGGCCUUAGGGUUGUAAAGCUCUUUCAGUGGGGAAGCGGUACCCACAGAAGAAGCCCCGGCUAACUUCGUGCCAGCAGCCGCGGUAAUACGAAGGGGGUUAGCGUUGUUCGGAUUUACUGGGCGUAAAGCGCACGUAGGCGGAUUGUUAAGUGAGAGGUGAAAUCCUGGAGCUCAACUCCAGAACCGCCUUUCAUACUGGCAAUCUAGAGUCCGGAAGAGGUAAGUGGAACUCCUAGUGUAGAGGUGGAAUUCGUAGAUAUUAGGAAGAACACCAGUGGCGAAGGCGGCUUACUGGUCCGGUACUGACGCUGAGGUGCGAAAGCGUGGGGAGCAAACAGGAUUAGAUACCCUUGUAGU